AUCUUCUUUAAUCAAAUGUGUUGAUGGAUCCUACUUUAUUUAUUUAUUUGUUUGUUUGUUUUGUACUAAGGAGGUCGCUGCUGCUAAGAAAAUUUGAUUUUUGAGCCGAAACGACAUGAUAUCUUGAGAUUUCAAUGUCCCAUUGUCAAUUCUGGAGAUGGAUAAGUCCAAGAUCACUCUCCCAGUUCUUAAAAGGCUGGGAUUUCACAGGAAAAUUCUGUGUUGUGAUGCUUAGCGGCCUGCUUACUUCUUUCUUCGUUUUAGUUUUUCUUGAAGGCCUACUGAGUUUGCUGCUCUGGAAAUAUCUUGGGGAAUGUUGGGAUUGUGCUUGUUCUGUUUAUACAUAUUUGCGCAAAGCUUCCAAUCGGUCAGCAAAUUUGCUUCUUGAUCAGUUUUGGAGGAGAAGGGCCUCGAUAUCUGGAGCUUAAGAUGCAAUGUAACAUGUCAGUCAUGUUCAAAUAACCUUGUAUCAUAUGUUGACUUCAGAUGCAUUAAUUUAUGUAAAAGUUUGUAAAAAAUUUAUGUAUCUCUUUACUAUUUUGGUGAAUGUUUUAUUUGAAUAGAAUUGGAUUUGAUAUUGGAAUAUAAUUAGA